GACGAACCGUGCGAACGUUGUUCGGAAUCACUGGGCUUAAAGGGCGCGUAGGCGGGCUGCCAAGUCCGUGGUGAAAUCCUCCGGCUCAACCGGAGAACGGCCUCGGAUACUGGCGGCCUCGAGGCAGGUAGGGGCAAGCGGAACUGUGGGUGGAGCGGUGAAAUGCGUUGAUAUCCACAGGAACUCCGGUGGCGAAGGCGGCUUGCUGGACCUGAUCUGACGCUGAGGCGCGAAAGCUAGGGGAGCGAACAGG
rnacentral:rRNA from 1 species